GUGGAUUAGAUACCCGAGUAGUCCACGCCCUAAACUAUGUCAACUAGUUGUCGGGUCUGUUUAAGGAUUUGGUAACGAAGCUAACGCAUGAAGUUGACCGCCUGGGAAGUACGGUCGCAAGAUUAAAACUCAAAGGAAUUGACGGGGACCCGCACAAGCGGUGGAUUAUGUGGAUUAAUUCGAUGCAACGCGAAAAACCUUACCUACCCUUGACAUGCUUAAAAUUUUGCAGAGAUGUAAAAGUGCCUGAAAGGGAAUUAAGACACAGGUGCUGCACGGCUGUCGUCAGCU
rnacentral:rRNA from 1 species